rnacentral:misc_RNA from 1 species
GAUGAAGAACGUAGUGAAAUGCGAUAAGUAAUGUGAAUUGCAGAAUUCAGUGAAUCAUCGAAUCUUUGAACGCACAUUGCGCCCCCUGGUAUUCCGGGGGGCAUGCCUGUCCGAGCGUCAUUACAACCCUCAAGCUCAGCUUGGUAUUGGGCCCCGCCGACCCGGCGGGCCCUAAAGUCAGUGGUGGUGCCGUCCGGCUCCGAGCGUAGUAAUUCUUCUCGCUCUGGAGGUCCGGUCGUGUGCUCGCCAGCAACCCCCAAUUUUUUUCAGGUUGACCUCGGAUCAGGUAGGGAUACCCGCUGAACUUAAGCAUAUCAAUAAGCGGAGGA